GAUGAACGCUGGCGGCGUGCCUAAUACAUGCAAGUCGAGCGAACAGACGAGGAGCUUGCUCCUCUGACGUUAGCGGCGGACGGGUGAGUAACGCGUGGAUAACCUACCUAUAAGACUGGGAUAACUUCGGGAAACCGGAGCUAAUACCGGAUAAUAUAUUGAACCGCAUGGUUCAAUAGUGAAAGACGGUUUUGCUGUCACUUAUAGAUGGAUCCGCGCCGCAUUAGCUAGUUGGUAAGGUAACGGCUUACCAAGGCAACGAUGCGUAGCCGACCUGAGAGGGUGAUCGGCCACACUGGAACUGAGACACGGUCCAGACUCCUACGGGAGGCAGCAGUAGGGAAUCUUCCGCAAUGGGCGAAAGCCUGACGGAGCAACGCCGCGUGAGUGAUGAAGGUCUUCGGAUCGUAAAACUCUGUUAUUAGGGAAGAACAAAUGUGUAAGUAACUAUGCACGUCUUGGCGGUACCUAAUCAGAAAGCCACGGCUAACUACGUG
rnacentral:rRNA from 1 species